GGGAGCAGGAGCAUAUGCUUUUCUCUGCCGUGUUAAAGUGUUCUAUAUAUGUUGACAUAUACAACAUAUAUAGUUGUAUUAUAUUAUUAUUAAAUUACAUAUAUAGUUGUAUAGAGAGAGAGUAUAAUAUAUUGACAAAAAGAGAUAGAAAGAAAGCGUGCACACGUACAUCUGUGUUUGUGCUUGAGCUUUCUGUUAGUGAGAGAAACACAAAGGGAGCAAGAUGCUGCAAAGGCUGCGGACCCUCCUGCAUAACCGGAGGCCCAAGUCUGGUCCACCAGAAGGAAGCAGCAAGAAAAAAGAAGAGGGUGCCACAGUUCCCAUGGCUGCUUACCCUAAUUGCUGGCACUUCCUAGCCUGCUGCAGAAAACCAAGACACCACCAGGAACCUGAACAGCAGGGGAGCUCUGGCAUCAGCACUCCACCAGCCCCACCCAGACCCAAAUGGCAUCAUCUCUGCCGAAGGAGGGAGGCUGUCGCUGUGAAGGCUGGGGGAGACGCACACAAACACAGGCAAAGCUCCAGAGGACUUGGUAACCAGUCUGGAGAUUCAUUAGUCAGCAGUCUGCACUGCUCCCCUUUCUCCUCCACCUCCUACCAGUCUCAGUUGGAGGACUGCAAAGUGGAUGAGGAUCUCAUCGAAAUAAUCCACAGGCAUAUGGAGGACAGAGAGGAGAGAGCCAACAAUCAAGAUGAGGAUGUCCAUUUCCUCGCAGUCCUCUGUGCUUGCUGCAAGGCUGCAUAUAAGAGUGGCCAGGAGAGUCUGGAUCUCCCCUACACCAAAGGAGAAUUGCUAAAGGAAAUCGUGGUGGUGAUGGAGAAGUCCCCUGUGCAGUCUGGGCCUACCAUUCUCCUGCUUUAUGCCAUGGCUGCCGUCUCCUGCCUCAGCAAAAUCAAGCCUCCAACUGACCCAGAGCUAGAGUCUGCGAUCCUGCGCUUCGCUGUUCGCGGGGUCAUAAAGGUGCAAGCAGGAAAUGUCCACAAACAGGCUCUGCACAAACUCGCAGCAGACAAUCUGGAGCUGAUGUUGAGGGGCUUUUUGUCGGAGGCCCCAACCACACAGCAUCUCUUGUCCCUCCUGGAGCACAUCAACAUCUGGAUCCUCUCCAGGAAUGCCCAGGAGAGAGCACGAGCCAGCAAACUAUGUGCCAGCUUGCUCCGCUUUAGUGUGAUGAUGCCUGAUUGUGAUAACUCUGCAGAACUCCCCAGUUUGGGCCACCAUGUGGCCAAACUCGGAAUCUGCAUUAUGGAUUCCCGGAGGGACGUGAGCAGGUACGCCAGGGAGGGAAUCUACCGGCUCCUGGAGGUGCUUCUCAACCACAAAGGCCAGAGCAGCAGAGACGCUUGGGAGCUGUGGAGCCGGAGACGGCAGGAGGAUGGAAGAAUACUGGCCUAUCUCAAUGCAGCCAGAGUUGGGGAGGCUUUCAGGGAGAUCUUCAACAAAGACCAGCGAAGAUCCUUCCUGAGGACCACUCUUUGGGCCAUCGAUCACCCUCUCUACAGGGUUCAGGAGGCUGGUCUUAUCCUGCUGUACUCCCUCCUGGGCAUGGCUGAUGCACUGAUGGGGUAUGAGGUGAGCCACUGGUUAAGCUGCAUGGCAGUGGGGGUGGGGGGUGGCAUGUAAUCAAAAAGGGCCUCUGAUUCUGGUGGGUUGGGCAUUUUCCCCAUCUCCCCAGGAGGAGGAAAUCAGGAGGAAAAUCUGGCUUCGUCUCUGCUAACUCAAAGACAGCAACUGAAGAACUCCAAGGUUUCUAUGAAAACCAAGGUGACUGACUGAUGGACCUUGGCAGUGCCGCUAAGCCGACUACCCUCCCAUGACACCUUCUUCCUUCCCUCCCAUGACACCUUUCCUUCUUUUCCUUCCACCCUAAACAUAUCAAGAGAAAAAUCAUAUAACAUCUUAAUUAAAUGUAUUAUGUAUUAUCAUAAAUGUAUGUAUCAUAUGUAUCAUAUCAUCAAUGUAUUAAUCAUGAUCAAAAUUCCUCAAAGGAAUCAGGAAACUGAAAUAACACCUUUUAAAAUGUGGAUACCCUCAACGAUUACAACAUCAAUAGGACAUCAGCCAUAUCAAGAGAUUCUCUACAGAGGCAAAACAA